rnacentral:rRNA from 1 species
UACAGAGGUCCCAAGCGUUGUUCGGAUUCAUUGGGCGUAAAGGGUGCGUAGGCGGCUUGUCGCGUCGUCUGUGAAAUCCCGCGGCUCAACUGCGGGUCUGCGGUCGAUACGGGCGGGCUAGAGUUCGGUAGGGGAGACUGGAAUUCCUGGUGUAGCGGUGAAAUGCGCAGAUAUCAGGAGGAACACCGGUGGCGAAGGCGGGUCUCUGGGCCGAUACUGACGCUGAGGAGCGAAAGCGUGGGGAGCGAACAGG